AUAGACUAUUCCAAGAAGGACCCAAGCAGUUUUUUGCUGAACGUUAAAUACAGCAGCCAAUAAAACUCACGGGUAGUUUGAAAGAAGAGUGAACGGGCGCAAUGACGGUAGGCUAUAGCAGUUAUUUAUUCAGACCCAUAACCGCUCAAUCUUCGUAAGGGAAGCGAAAGCGUUCUGCAUCUGAUUCUAGUCCUACAUUAUUCAAGGACGUCAAUAGAAUGAUGAAGAUAAUGACAACGAAACCGUUGAAAGCAAGGAUGGAAGGAGGCAACAAUAGAGAAAGAGGAGGUGAAGAAACCGGACGUGGAGGCCCUGGGCUGAUGUGGUUACACGUGGUCAGCGGUUGUGAGGCUGGUUGGAUUUACUACCAAAUUCUCUAAAAUGACAUUGGAGGAGACGAUGGCUGAGGGGACUAAGCAGCUGUGACUCCACUCCUUCAGACCCCACUGAUCCUCUACAGUCACUCUUAUGUUCUACCUUCAUGCCUAAACGGAGUACUGUACCUUUCACUAGAACCAGGUGAUCUCUUUGUAUUCUGAGUGGAACAUCCCCUCAACUUAAAUUAACUUGUCACGCAGAACCAUUGAAUGUAGUGAAGGUAUGUAGGAAAACUAUUUUUUUGCAAAAUAUCUAUUUAACAUAGAAAUCUCCACCUUCCUGCCAAUGUUGGUUGCAAUUACCCAACACAGUGUACAGUACAUUGUAUAGACCACAUGAAUGUUAACAGUGGUGUAUGUUUUCACAAAUUGUAAUCACUAGUGUAGGAUUUCGGUAGUAGAACUACACUUUUAAUGUGUUAUUUGACUAAGUAUUUUAUGAUGCUUGAAAUGUGAGUAAUCUGCUAUGAAUUCAGUACUAUUAUUGUGAAAUAAAGAUUUGAUCCUAAAAGACAGAUUCAUCCAUUCAGUCUUUCAUCAAGAUGUUUUAGAACUACCAAUUUGUUUAUCAC
ensembl:lncRNA